rnacentral:lncRNA from 1 species
UCUGCUCAGCGCGCCUUUUUCGACCAUACGAUGGCUCAUGACAGAAAACGACUUCUUGACAGGAGGAGUAAUCGAACCAUUGUCCACCACACCGCAUUUUUGGCUGGAUCUACCGAGUGAGGCACGAACUCGACCUUCGGUAUAAGAAUCUCGUCAUUGGCACCUUCGGACGAGGAACCGUGAGAGGUACCUCUUUUCGAAAUCUUUUUUUUGCUAGACAUCUUGAAAAACUUCAAGAAAACAAGAAGAAAAAGAUGGAGAGGAAGGGGGAAAUUUUUCAAAACAACUUCUUAUGAGAAUAAGUAAGUGAAAAAUUAUGAGAGAAGUUACCUUCUUUCUUAUAGGCAUAAGAAAUUACUAUUUUCCUGCGGACUUUUGGAUAUAAACUUCGC